AGAAACAAAGGCAUCAGAAACAUGCAGUAUAAUUCAAAGUCAGUUUUUUUUUUGAAGGCAAUGUCUACUCUUUCCCCCAUAGGGACAGCAGAAGCUCCUCCUCUCACCACAGCAGACGACAUCGCCCUUCUCGUUCCCGCGAGGAAGGAGGGGAGCGUGACAGGGAGCGGGACAGAGAGCGUGAGAGGCGACACAGGCACAAGAACAGGCAUCGCUCACGCUCACACUCCCACUCUCACUCACACUCCUACUCCCAUAAGAGCAAGAAGAAGAGGUCCUCCAGAGACAGAUCUCCACACCUGAGAGAAAGGCAGAAGCCACUGCCGCUGGAGAGUGGAGAGGAGGGACAAGGACCAGGGGGACGAGAGUGGCUCAAGGAGAGUGUGGCCUGGCAGCGAGAAGAAUCACACUCACUAGAGUUUCCUAGAGGAAGAGACUUUGAUCGAGGCAAAGAGCGGUCGCUGUCACUUGAGAGAAACAGGCUUUCUAGUUCAGAGGAGAGAGAAUCAGGGGAGCUCUAAGGUGGCUGUGGUGUGUGGGAAUCGCCUGUAACAAAGCCCUACCUUCAGACAAGAGUGCAGAAGUGGUACAGAAGCAAAGUUUGUGUGAAUAUGUACUAAAUGAGGUACGGGGGGGUAUAAUUUUUUCGAAGAGGGGAAGUUACUGAAAUGCUGUUAGAAGAGUAAGAAUAGUGGAGAUUAAAACAAGAUAUUGGGUGGUGAAUUUAAGGGAUGUUAGUGAGUUUUCUGAAAACUGGUGGGAUUUGUUACACACCGCAGGGAAGAUUUCUACAAUAGAACUAUGUACAGAAAAGUUCUAUAUAAAGUCUUUUUGUUUAUUUUUUUAGCAUGGAAUUUUUUUUUUAUAUUGUGAUCAUUAUUGUUAUAAAAGUUGUCAACUCCUGUGAAUUCUAACUUACGCCAUAUGAAUAUUAUGCAUUUGCACGCGCACAAAAUGUACAGGUUUACAGGCCAGGAUCACAGAGAAUAAUUUAAAAAUAAUGCUUAUAUGAUUUUGAGUAUUCUGCAAAGUGCUGCAUAGAAAAAGUGUCAUUGCCAGUUCAACAACCAAAACAUUCAGUAGGCAGUACAUUCAUGCAAAGCAUAGAAUAUGUACUUCUAAGCUAGGCAGGACCCUUGGCACAUUACGGAGGUCCCGAAAGCUGUUCUUGGGGCACAAGCAUCGUGUUGUAACAGAAGAAAAUAAUCCAAAGAACAGUUUCAGUAAGUACAAGUUGAAAGUGCUGGCUAACCCCCACACGGGAACAGAAUUGCCACAAGCACAAUUAAUUUCCACAAUAGCU
rnacentral:lncRNA from 1 species